GGGUGAGUAACACGUAAGUAACCUGCCCCUUAAUCUGGGACAACCUUUCUAACGAGGGGCUAAUACCGGAUAAUGUUUUAAAAACUCAUGUUUUAAAAAUUAAAGAUGACCUCUACUUGUAAGUUAUUGUUAAGGGAUGGACUUGCGGGCCAUUAGUUUGUUGGUAGGGUAACGGCCUACCAAGACUAUGAUGGCUAGCCGACCUGAGAGGGUGAUCGGCCACAUUGGGACUGAGAUACGGCCCAGACUCC
rnacentral:rRNA from 1 species